CGGCGACGCGGGGUUGACAGGCGCAGAUGGCGGCGGCGCAGGGCUCCUGAGCCGGAGGCGGCCAUGAGCGCCGCCCGGCCCCAGUUCAGCAUCGAUGAUGCCUUCGAGUUGUCCCUGGAGGACGCGGGUCCCGGGCCCGAGUCCAGCGGGGUCGCCCGCUUCGGGCCGCUGCACUUCGAGCGCCGGGCCCGGUUCGAGGUUGCCGACGAGGACAAGCAGUCCCGGCUGCGCUACCAGAACCUGGAGAAUGAUGAGGAUGGAGCCCAGGCCUCGCCAGAACCGGAUGGGGGAGUCAGCACCAGGGAUUCUGGCGGAACAUCUAUGCGCAGCUCCCAGUGGUCCUUUAGCACCAUCAGCAACAGCACCCAGCACACCUACCAUUCCUGCUGCAGCUGGACCAAACAUCCUUUGAUCCAGAAGAACCUCCGGGUUGUGCUGGCCUCCUUCCUGCUCCUGCUGCUGGGGACAGGAAGGUCAAAGCCCCCAUCAGCCAGGCCCCCUGGCCAGAAAGCCUGGCCCGGCUCCAGGUGUUUGAGUGCAGAGGAGAGAGCUGCUACUUUCCAUCACCACUGCACACUGGGCACUAAUGGCACUGGCCACUGGCGCGCUCUCCACAACCUAGCAAAGCAAGCAUCAUUGCCAUCCCAGCUUUGGAAAUAAGGACACAGGUCAGGCAGGUGAAGGGCCUUGCCCAGGUUGCAAGUUGAUGAGCUGGGAUUUAAGCCCACAUCUGUGACUGCCAGGCCUGGAGGCCACCAGCAACCCACAGAGGGCCCUUGAAGAAAUUAGAAAAACAGGGCAGAGCCUGCAGCAGCUCUAGGCCAAGGUGCAGGGAGAGAGAGGGGACCACUUUUUGAGGCUUUCUGUGCAUACACAAAGCAGGCAACAGUCCAUGGUGGCCCUCAAGCCCCAGGCUGUACCACCUCUCUUGCUGUACCCUGCCCUCUGUCAAUCCUCUAAGUGGGAACUGAGGACUGUGGGUCUGAAAAGUAGACCUAGGCAUGACCUCUCCACCUUCCCCCAAACGCACUGUCUUCCACCAAAGUCCGUAUCCCUACCUGGUGCUAUAAGCCCUACCAUCCCUCCUGCCUGCGCUCUUCCUGUCCAGUCUUGCCAAACGCCAGAAGCUCUUAGAAAGCCUAGUUCCCUCCAAAUUCCGAGCCUUUGCUGUGCUAUUCCCCUGUCUGAAUUCUCUCUCUGCCUGAAUGGCGCCCCCAGCAAAGCCUCUAGAGUUAGCCAGCCUCCACCUUCCACCUGCUGCCAGAGGAAGUGACUUCCCCUCUCUGUGCCUCAGUUUCAUCUUAUACCUGUCUCAUUUGGUCAAGGUGACAGUUAAAUAAGGCAGUGCAUGUAACACACUUAGCCCAGUGGCUGGCAGAGCCUGGUAAGUGAUCUUUAAGUAUUAACUGUGAUUGCUAUUGCUAUUGCCACCCUUGCUCAGCUUAGAUGUCACUGCCUCCGGGAACCCUCUCCCUGGUCCCCUGGCUGGCUCCAGCAGGACUCCUCUGGAUUCCCACACUGCCCUGUUCUUCCCCACCAUAUCCCGAUCACCUGGGUUAUAGCUUUCAGGUUCUCCUUGGACCCUUCACUAAGGAAGGGCCAUGAGGGCAGAGACCUCAUUUCCCUUUCGCCUGGGAAUUCCCAGUACCAUGCAUGCAGGAGGUGUCCCCUAAGUAUUAGCAGAAUGACAGGUCACACCAAACUCAUUUCACAGACAUUCCGCAGGGCCUGCCAAGUGCCCUGCUCUGAAGACAGAACUUGGUGAACUUCCUGGGGAGGGUCUCCACCCAGGGGCAUCUGCUCAGGCGGGGGACACCAUUCCUCGGCCUGAGCCUGGUUGUGGGGUGGGGGUGGAAGUCCCGCCCUCACCCCGCGGCCAUCUGUGUGCAGCGCUGAUCCUGGUCGGCGUGGGACUGGAGGCGGCCCCCUCGCCAGGUGUCUCCAGCGCCAUCUUCUUCGUGCCAGGCUUCCUGCUGCUGGUCCCAGGAG